rnacentral:rRNA from 1 species
CGUUGUUCGGAAUUACUGGGCGUAAAGGGCUCGUAGGCGGCCAACUAAGUCCGACGUGAAAUCCCAAAGCUUAACUUUGGAACUGCGUCGGAUACUGGAUGGCUUGAAUUCGGGAGAGGGAUGCAGAAUUCCAGGUGUAGCGGUGAAAUGCGUAGAUAUCUGGAGGAAUACCGGUGGCGAAGGCGGCAUCCUGGACCGACAUUGACGCUGAGGAGCGAAAGCUAGGGGAGCAAACGGG